GGAGGGUAACUGUCAGGUGGCAGAACCCGAUUUAUAACCGGGAAUCGUCUCGCAGGCGAUGGGGUUCAAAUCCCCUGCCCUCCG
rnacentral:tRNA from 1 species